rnacentral:rRNA from 1 species
CCUACGGGAGGCUGCAGUGGGGAAUAUUGGACGAUGGGGGGAACCCUGAUCCAGCCAUGCCGCGUGUGUGAAGAAGGCCCUCGGGUUGUAAAGCACUUUCAGUGAGGAAGAACGCCUGGUGGUUAAUACCCAUCAGGAAAGACAUCACUCACAGAAGAAGCACCGGCUAACUCCGUGCCAGCAGCCGCGGUAAUACGGAGGGUGCGAGCGUUAAUCGGAAUUACUGGGCGUAAAGCGCGCGUAGGUGGCUUGAUAAGCCGGUUGUGAAAGCCCCGGGCUCAACCUGGGAACGGCAUCCGGAACUGUCAAGCUAGAGUGCAGGAGAGGAAGGUAGAAUUCCCGGUGUAGCGGUGAAAUGCGUAGAGAUCGGGAGGAAUACCAGUGGCGAAGGCGGCCUUCUGGACUGACACUGACACUGAGGUGCGAAAGCGUGGGUAGCAAACAGGAUUAGAUACCCGUGUAGUC